AUGCUCUUCCCACCGCAUCGCCUCCUCCCUUUCGCCUCCGCUUUCAAUCCCUAUCCCCCCUACUCCCAUGCUCUCCCCGCAGAUCAGAGCCCCGCCGGUGAGGUCUUCACAGCCGAGGUCGAGGAGAAGGGAAGAACCACGGUGGGAGGAAGGAGCAGCGAGGCCAGAGCGGUCACAUCAUGGUGGAGUGGACCUGCAGGGGAGAGGAAGGAGGCCGGCGAGAGUGGGAAGGAUUGGUGGGUUCUCUACUGAUGGUGUUGGAGAUUGCAAGGAUUGUUCAAUCUGGUUUCAGGAGUGUGUGCUGCUCCUAUAAGUUAACUCAGGUAUGUACAAGCACCUCUGGUAUACCCUCGAGAAAGAAAGCGAAUGAUAAAUGGAGGCCAAGGAUGGUUGCCGUUUUUUGUAUAUCGUGAUGGCUUCAACCCUGAAAUAUGCCCAGCUGGUCUGAAACAAGAACAGAAGGGAGCCUGAGAACACUCAGCUUGCGCCAUGGAUAGCCAAAUAUUUUUCAAAGUACUGCAGACCACCUGUGUUUGCUAAACAAACUGGAUAGGUU